rnacentral:rRNA from 2 species
AAAUUGAAGAGUUUGAUCAUGGCUCAGAUUGAACGCUGGCGGCAGGCCUAACACAUGCAAGUCGAGCGGUAGCACAGAGAGCUUGCUCUCGGGUGACGAGCGGCGGACGGGUGAGUAAUGUCUGGGAAACUGCCUGAUGGAGGGGGAUAACUACUGGAAACGGUAGCUAAUACCGCAUAACGUCGCAAGACCAAAGUGGGGGACCUUCGGGCCUCAUGCCAUCAGAUGUGCCCA